CUACGGGGCGCAGCAGUGAGGAAUUUUGCGCAAUGGGGGAAACCCUGACGCAGCAACGCCGCGUGAGUGAAGAAGGCUUUCGGGUCGUAAAGCUCUGUCAGAUAGGAAAAAAGUUCAUAUGUAAAUAGCUUAUGAAUCUGAUGGUACUAUCAGAGGAAGCACCGGCUAACUCCGUGCCAGCAGCCGCGGUAAUACGGAGGGUGCAAGCGUUGUUCGGAAUUACUGGGCGUAAAGGGCGUGUAGGCGGUAUGGUAAGUCAGAUGUGAAAGCCAUGGGCUUAACUCAGGAAGUGCAUUUGAUACUGCCAUCCUUGAGUAUGGGAGAGGAGAGUAGAAUUCCCAGUGUAGAGGUGAAAUUCGUAGAUAUUGGGAGGAAUACCCGUGGCGAAGGCGACUCUCUGGACCAAUACUGACGCUGAGACGCGAAAGCGUGGGGAGCAAACAGGAUUAGAUACCCCUGUAGUC
rnacentral:rRNA from 1 species